UGAUGGUUUGGUACCACAUUUGGGCAGCAGUUUUUCCGUUCGCCCAACGUUUUCCACACGAGAUGCCGGAAAAGGUUAGCCGUUGCCGAAGUAUUCGCUCGGGCAGCUAUGCGUUUAAUGUGAGAACCAGGAAAUCAGUUUCUACUACUACUGCUGCGCGAUUCCAGUAGGCUGCUGCUGCUGAUGCAUUCCCCUGUUAUCAGUAUCUCUAUGUACAGUCGUAUACGGAGGAGGCCUUGGGUUCCAGUUACAGCAAAAGUCUGCUGGUUAUCGUCGAGGAAUGUGUGAGUGUUUGUGUUUUACACCCCAUUGCUCCCCAGGCCGGCGGCCCUUUCCGUUGCUUUCCGGGAAAGGCUUCUUUUCGUUCGACAGUGCCUUAUUUUAUGAAUCACGCCCGAUAGCAUCCGCCUUUUGCCACCGAUAAACGCAUGAACAGUGGCGUGCUCUUUACCUCCUAUUCCUCGUCAUUAGAUUUAGAGCGCGAUUGGAUUUUUCACACAACACAACCACCACAAAGAAGGUAUACACGCCCCAGUGCCUUAUCUUGAGGUGGGGGGAGGGUGAGCGCAAUAGGUCUAACACGCACGCACACACUCGACGCACCAGAUGCAGAAAUAGUGCCUCAUUUUUCACCUUUUCCAACUACAAAUCGACCGUACAACACCGCCCACACGCCAAGCUGCAAUUUAAUGAUCCACACGUACCUGUUUCGACGGGGUUGAGGAUGUUUUUCACACGGAAAACUGCACGGAAAAUGUUCGGGUGUAUCGAGCGAAGAGGAGCCACGGCGAAGACGGCAAUCGCAAAACGCACUCUGCACAGGAAACGAUACAGCACUUAACAGAUUUUGAGGGCGGCACAGAUGCGUUUAUUGCCGCGAAACGUUACGAUUGCCACUUACACUACACCGUGUUGAAUUAAAACAUUUGUAACUAAUCUAAAUAAAAAGUUUAAAGGGGGAAAAAAUACUGCCUCCGUCUUCCUCAA